CAGCCACGGUAAUACCAGCUCCGCGAGUGGUCGGGGUGUUUACUGGGCUUAAAGCGCCCGUAGCCGGCCCGGUAAGUCGCUCCUGAAAUCCUCGGGCUCAACCCGAGGGCGGGGGGCGAUACUAGCCGGGCUAGGGGGCGGGAGAGGCCGAGGGUACUCCCGGGGUAGGGCGAAAUCCUAUAAUCCCGGGAGGACCACCAGUGGCGAAGGC
rnacentral:rRNA from 1 species